AGACUGGGGCGGGGGGAAGACUGCGCGCAGGCGCAACCUCGUCCUUUCCGAGGUCUGCCGCCGCGUGUGUGGAAGUUAUGGCCGCUUCUGUCCGCCGUGCACUCACUGAACAGGCUAGGGCUUGGGGUGUUGGCAUGCCUUUGGCACCGGUUGAGACGUUGGGAAGCAGAGCUGGAGGUUCCAUCCCAGAAGUAAUGGCAGGAUCUCUAAGCAUAAACAGACCGAUGUAGCCACCAGUAAGACGGUGGAGAUAGAUGGUGGGCAUCUGCUUCAUGCGGUAGUUCUGAAGUUCAGCUGUAAGAACACAUGUUGAACCAUGAGUCCAUUUCGAUUGGAGUUGGCUCCUGGAGACAUCAUCAUAAGAUGUGGUACGUAAGGAUCUUCAUGGUGAUGCUAUGUGUGGUGCAGGCUGAAUCUCUGGGGCAGAAAGGGAUGCUACAGCAGCCACACAGGUUAUUGCCCUGUAGUGCCCUGCCGCCUCCCUUAAUCUCCCAGAGAGUGUCAUCAGAAGACCUUGGAGUUUGAUCUGCAAAAGUAGCCAGCAGAGUCAAGUGACUGCGAUCACCCUGGGAAGCCUGUGGCAGCUACUGAGUGCUCUCAGUUGGGAGGCACUGGGGAGGCAGGUGCUGUGUCUGGAAAAGCAUUUCUCACAGUGGAUUUCCUGAGAAGUCAGGAUUGGGCUUUGUGUUUUGAAGCACAAAUAAACUUUAUAAAAUUUAACUCA